rnacentral:rRNA from 1 species
AACAUCUGCGUCUCGCAAGAGACUGCUAUAUAGGUGCUGCAUGGCUGUCGUCAGCUCGUGUCGUGAGAUGUUGGGUUAAGUCCCGCAACGAGCGCAACCCUUAUCUUUAGUUGCCAUCAGGUCAAGCUGGGCACUCUAACGAAACCGCCUCGGAUAACGGGGAGGAAGGUGGGGAUGACGUCAAGUCCUCAUGGCCUUUAUGUCCAGGGCUACACACGUGCUACAAUGGCCGGUACAAACCGUCGCAAACCCGCGAGGGGGAGCUAAUCGGAAAAAGCCGGCCUCAGUUCGGAUUGGAGUCUGCAACCCGACUCCAUGAAGCUGGAAUCGCUAGUAAUCGCGGAUCAGAACGCCGCGGUGAAUACGUUCCCGGGCCUUGUACACACCGCCCGUCACAUCACGAAAGUGGACUGCACUAGAAGUCGGCGUGCCAACCGCAAGGGGGUAGCCGCCCAAGGUAUGGUUCAUGAUUGGGGUGAAGUCGUAACAAGGUAACCGUAA